rnacentral:rRNA from 1 species
GACGAACGCUGGCGGCGUGCUUAACACAUGCAAGUCGAACGCUGAAGCUUGGUGCUUGCACUGGGUGGAUGAGUGGCGCACGGGUGAGUAAUACGUGAGUAACCUGCCCUUGACUCUGGGAUAAGCCUGGGAAACUGGGUCUAAUACUGGAUACGACAUGUCACCGCAUGGUGGUGUGUGGAAAGGGUUUUACUGGUUUUGGAUGGGCUCACGGCCUAUCAGCUUGUUGGGGGGGUAAUGGCUCACCAAGGCGACGACGGGUAGCCGGCCUGGGAGGGUGACCGGCCACACUGGGACUGAGACACGGCCCAGACUCCUACGGGAGGCAGCAGUGGGGAAUAAUGCACAAUGGGCGGAAGCCUGAUGCAGCGACGCCGCGUGAGGGAUGACGGCCUUAGGGUUGUAAACCUCUUUCAGCACGGAAGAAGCGAAAGUGACGGUACGUGCAGAAGAAGCUCCGGCUAACUACGUG